UGGGGAAUAUUGGACAAUGGGGGCAACCCUGAUCCAGCAAUGCCGCGUGUGUGAAGAAGGCCUGCGGGUUGUAAAGCACUUUCGAUGGGAAAGAAAAACCCGGAGCUAAUACCUCCGGCAUUGACGGUACCCAAAGAAUAAGCACCGGCUAACUCAGUGCCAGCAGCCGCGGUAAUACUGAGGGUGCGAGCGUUAAUCGGAAUUACUGGGCGUAAAGCGAGUGUAGGCGGUUACCUAAGUCGGAUGUGAAAGCCCCGGGCUUAACCUGGGAAUUGCAUUCGAUACUGGGUGACUGGAGUUUGGUAGAGGUAAGUGGAAUUCCGGGUGUAGCGGUGAAAUGCGUAGAUAUCCGGAGGAACAUCAGUGGCGAAGGCGGCUUACUGGACCAAAACUGACGCUGAGGCUCGAAAGCGUGGGUAGCAAACAGGAUUAGAUACCCUGGUAGUCCACGCCCUAAACUAUGUCAACUAGACGUUGGGCUCAUUAAUGAGCUUAGUGUCGUAGCUAACGCGUUAAGUUGACCGCCUGGGGAGUACGGCCGCAAGGUUG
rnacentral:rRNA from 1 species